rnacentral:rRNA from 1 species
AUUGAACGCUGGCGGCAGGCCUAACAAAUGCUAGUCGAACGAGUGGCGGACGGGUGAGUAAUCUCUGGGAAACUGCCUGAUGGUGGGGGAUAACUACUGGAAACGGUAGCUAAUACCGCAUACCAUCAGAUGUGCCCAGAUGGGAGUAGCUAGUUGGUGGGGUAACGGCUCACCAAGGCGACGAUCCCUAGCUGGUCUGAGAGGAUGACCAGCAACACUGGAGCAGAGACACGGUCCAGACUCCUCCUGGAGACAGCAGUGGCGAAUAUAGCACAAUGGGCGCAAGUCUGAUGCAGCGAUGCAGCGGGUAUGAAGAAGGCCUUCGGGUAGUAAAGGACUUUCAGCGGGGAGGCGUUACCCGGAGAAGAAGCACGGGCUAACUCCGUGCCAGACGGCGCGGUAAUUC